rnacentral:rRNA from 1 species
AUGAAUCUGUUGUGCUGGAAUUGUCGCGGGAUUGGCAACGCCUCGACAAUUCAAGAGCUAUGUGAACUCGCGAAAAAGUUUGCCCCUAGAGUACUUUGCAUAGUUGAAACUCAAAUUAGUAGUGAAAAAGCUGAAAAGUUAGCAGGUACUUUAGGUUAUGAUGAAUCUUUUGCUGUUGAUUCUUCUGGUAGAAGUGGAGGUUUGGCAAUGUUUUGGAAUAAUGAUAUA